rnacentral:snRNA from 1 species
GCUAGCUUUGGCAGCGCAUAUACUAAAAUUGCAAUGAUGCAGAGAAGGUUAGCAUGGACCCUGUGAGAGGGUGACAUGCAAAUUCAUGAAGCCUUCCAUCCAAAA